GGGUUUUCAACCCUGGUCAUCUAUCUGGAUCAUUAUUCAAAAUGCAAAACCAGAAACUUUGGAGUGAGAUUUUGUUAUCUGCAUUUUUGAAAAGCUUCCCUGGUGAGGGCAUAAAACUACAGCAUACCUGAGGUUAGCCUGAAAAAGAAGGACUGAGAAGUGCAAAAAUACCGAGAAAGAAGAAUUUCACAGGAAUAAGAUGAUGCUUCAUAAUGUUUUGUAACAUUAGAUCAUCUUUCUUCCUGAAUUCAUUGCUUGCAUCCUGGGUAUGGCUGAGAUGAUGAGAAUAAGAUGGCAGUGAAGAAAUAAAAUGAAGGAACAGGAAAUUCAUGGUUGACGUUCAAACCUGCUACAUUACCUUUUCCAACCCCUGUCAAGUUGUAGAAGCUUCAAGCCUCACAAAACAUAGACUUGCGCCCAUGUUAUGACUUCCUCCAAGCAGGGUCCUGACAUUGCUAAUCUUCUGAAUGAACAGCAGUUACAUUGAUAGAAAGGAGUUAUAAACUUACAGCGCUUUGUUUUUUUUGAUUGGGAAAAAUUCCCAUCCACUUCUCUUUCUAUGCCUUUUAUUCAUCACUUGUCAGUACAAAAAUACAACAAAUAAUAAAGGACACAUAUUUUCAUAAAAUAGCAAUUAAACAAUGUCUAUUUUUAUUUCAACCAAGAGUAGAGCAAUAAGUUGUAUCCGAAAUGAGAGAAAUUAUUUCCAUAUUAUGUUGAAUAAUACACAUAUCAGAGCAAAGACCAUAGGAAGACAGACAAGGAGAAAACAUAAGAGCUAUUAUAAGUAGUGAUUGUGAGAAAACAUAUGCAAUAUACUAGAUAAAAGGAGAAUAUCUCUAAUAGCUGACAGACAGCUCCCUGGAUCAUUUGUGUUUCUGCACAUCUUAUAAAUAAGGCAUUAACUGUCCUUUGUUCUGGACUAUGUCUUCAAGAAUGUAUGGAUAGCAAACAACAUUGGAAGUUAUAGACAGUGUCUAUCUCUGGAGCAAAAGGCAGGAAUGCUGACUGUCCAUUAUAAAAACUUUGGGUUUCUUCCCUUUAACACAACUUACUGAAUGUGCAGAUGUCAUCUAGCCCCAUCGGCAACAUCCGUGUGGGACUUGUAGGUGAAGAGAACUGACCCAAACAUACUGAUGCUCAUGAUGCUUCCUGUGUCCUGAGAAAUAAUGCCCUUUGUCUCUGACCCAGGAGUCUUGUGUCUUCUGCCUGCAUCCAUAAAACUAUAGCAGAAUGACUGUUAGUUUUCAAGUAGUGUAAAAUUUCAAAUCUUCACAGAUUUUGACACGUAUACAGUGAGCUUAUGCAACUUAAUAAAAACGAAUAGAAAAGCAAACUAGUAAGAUAAAUAUUUAGUAGAACAUAAAAAUGUAAACAUCUAUACUUUAAUACCUUUACAUCUUUACUCAUCAGGAGUUAUUAAAUAAUAUUAAGAUGUCAUUUUGCACUCAUCAAUUGACAAAAACUAAAAAAAAUAGCAAUAGGAACCAGACGCAGAGAAGAGAUAGACAAACAGAUACUUUCAUGUAUUGCUGGUGGAUGUGAAAAGUAAUAAAACAGUUUAGAAAAGUUGUGUGUUUAUAUCUUCUUGGCCAGCCGUCCCACUUUUGAAAUCUAUCAAAGGGAAUAAAACUCCAAUGACUCUGUCUGUCUUUCUUUCUCUCUGUCUCCCUCUCUAUAUAUACACAAGUAUAUGUGUGUGUAUGUAUGUAUGUGUAAUCUUUAGAUAUAGGUAGCUUAUCCUUGUCUGAAAUGGGAUGCAAUUAUGAGAAAGAAAAUAUUAGAUCACUAUGUAUUAACUUGAAAGGAUGCCCAUGAAUUAUUAAGUUACAAAAUUACAAAUGUAAUAUAAGAAGUGAUUUGAUUCUUCUUUUGAAAAAGAAUAAACAUAGUACAUACAUGUGUGUAUGUGUAACUUUAUUGUAAUCUGUCACAAUGGGCAAGUAAGGAUUGAAUAUAUUAUUUAAUCCAAAGGUAACUGCAAAUUGACUUUCCUCUGGUGCUGUGGAAGAGAUUAAUAACUUACACUGAGCUAGCAUCUCAAUCUCAAUAGCAGCUUAGUCAAAGCUGCAGUUAGGCUUUGGAAUCAGACAGACUGGAAUUCCUAUCUGGAUUGGACAGCUGACUGGCUGAAUGAACCUGGGCAAGUCAUUUGGUCUUUCUGAGCCCCUGUUUAUUAUCUGUUAAAAUGGAAAUAACAAUAGUGUCUACCUCACAUAUUUUUAACUUACAGUUCUGUCAUAGAGUCAAUGAUGGUAUUGGUAAUGAAAUUUACCACUUAAAGUGGAUAUUUUAUGUGAUUCUCUUCUUGUCUUUUAAAAAUAGUAGAUAGCUCACUUAGCUGCCUAUACAGAAAUGAUAAUACCUCAGAUUUUCUCACUAUUUUUCUAUACAAGCUCAUCAAACAACAAUUGAACAAAGGCCUUGAGGUGCCCAGAAAGCCGAAGUGUGCACAUUGUUAGUGCUGUUUAUCUUCAAUGAAGAUUAGAACUGCGACCAUUAGAUGGCUUAAUGGGUGUGAAGAAAACCUUUAGUAAUACAGCUAAAGUAUCAUUAGCAUGUUUACAGUUUACCAUCUGAAACAACUGUUAUAUUUUACAAAUGAAAAAAUAAUUAUCCCACACCUUCCUUAAGUAAAAACCAUAGUUUCCUGUCAAAUUGAGUGCAAGAAAUCCCUAAAAAAAUGUAAAAAGGCUGUUGUCCAAGUUUUUAUUUCAAUAACAUCAGAGAAAAUAAACCAGCUGAGCUACUUGUCAUUUUCUUUAAUUUCUCAACUAUGGAGUGCUUCAGUGAAGGAGCUAUUUAUAACUCUCAUUUCUCCUUUAAAUUCUUACCUUGUAGCGAUCUAGCUAGAUUGGAGAAAAGCCCUAAUUUUGUUCAGGAUUGCAUAGGCUGCCAUCAAAUCAUGGUUUUGAAUUAAUCAAAAGUCUGAUUACUCUCCCUGAAACUACACAAGUAUUAAUGGUUUCCUUGUCAGCACUUAAUGAGAAUUUUCUUUGGAUUGAUAGUCUCCAGUGCUUUGUUCAUUCACGUAUGUACAAUUUUUAAUCAUCAGUUUAGGUAAGAUGUGAGUAUUUGUUUUCAAGUUGUAGAAGAUAAUGGGACUAUUAAUGUAACUUAAAAGUAGAAUCUGGAAAGUUGGCAUGCUAAAAUAUGAACAUAAAGAUGCUGGAAUCUGGAAGCUCCAUGUCUCAGGGUGUUGAUAUUAUUGUGGAAACCAAAUGAAAUCCUACAGAGCAAGGACUAUGCUAUAGACACUGCCUCUAUAUUUCUAGGACCUAGAGCAAUACCUGGCACCCAGCCCCAGGGGAAGAAAAGGGAGGAGGAAAACACUUGACCAAAAUGCAGCAAAGCGAGACAUUAGUUAAAACAUUCACUUCGUGCUAGAAAGAAGUUGUGGCUUCAUUUAUGUGUCAGAGCUUCUGUUAAACAUUUUCUAAAGUCAACAUACACAUGAUGCUUUAUUUCCUCUAAGAUAAAAUGUCAGUUUCCGGGAAUAGAAUCAUGGUGAAUGCCCCUUCUGUCUUAUCCCUCUCAAUCCCUUGUCAAGCGACAACUUCAAUAGCUAUUGAAAGGAAAGGCACAUGUGCACAGAGAGUUAAAACAUUUCUUACACGGUGUUAAGAAGGUCAGCAGAGAUUUCAAGGUCAUUUUUGCCUUCUAUUUUCUUAGGACUCUGAGGAGAAAGAUGAUUUAUGAAAUGCAUUCCUUUUCCAUAAAGUGUGUUUGGUUUGGAGAGGAUACCAUUUAAGCAUUAAAUUAAAUCAUCUAAUCAUCAUCAAUAAAAGCCAGCUUUUAGUCACUUUUUAAAGAUUUUUGAGCACUAUAAAAUAAAAUCUCAAAGCUUUUAAUUUCAAAAUAAACAACAUAAUUGAAAUAGUUUAUUUUUUAAUACAUGAGGCUGUUUAAGAGGCCUAGGGGACCUAGAAAUAUUAAAUGCUCUUUUCCAGAUGGAAAGACAGGCAGAGGAAGAACCAGUGCGCAGAGAAGUCAGUAAAUGAGAUGGCAUGACAUAGCAGUUAAGACCACAGCCUCGAGAGCAAGCCAACACUUAAUGUAUUUCCGUUCUCAGACAAAUCCCUUCACCUCUCUGUGGCUCGAUUUUCUCAUUCAUAAAAUGUACAUAAUGGUAGUAACUUUCUCUCAAGGUUGUUUUGAUGAUUAGAUGAUUUAAUUUAUAUAAAGCUGUCAGAAAUAUGUCUAACACACAUUAAAUGAGCCUUUGCAGUUAUAAAAAGACAGAAAUAUGUUGGAAAUAAAGAUAAAUACCAAAAUAGUAAUUAUUUGUUAAAUGUGACAGGUUUAUAUCUCUUGCCUCCAAGCUCCCAGAAACAAAAGACAGGAUUCUUGUAGCUCUUCCAUCCAGUGAGUCCAAAACUGUGCAGAUGGGCAAUUGCUAGUACAGAUUCAGGGACUUUAAGAGAAAGAACAGAAUGCAGAAAUCACAGCUGUGUCCAAGAGAUGAAUAUUCCAGUUCCACAAAUGGCUGUCCAUCUCCCGGAGUCAUUGUGCCAGUAGCAACUGUGGGCUCACUUGGAAAAGGAAUGAGGUGGGCUGGGUGAGGUGGCUCACACCUGUAAUCCCAGCACUUUGGGAGGCUGAGGUGGGCGGAUCACCUGAGGUCGGGAGUUCCAGACCAGCCUGAACAACAUGGUGAAACCCUGUCUCUACUAAAAAUACAAACGUUAGCUGGGCGUGGUGGCAGGAAUGUGUAAUCCCAGCUACUUGGGAGGCUGAGGCAGGAGGAUCGCUCAAACCUAGAAGCUGGAGGUUACAGUGAGCUGAGACCAUGCCAUUGCACUCCAGCCUGGGCAAUAAGAGCAAAACUCCAUCAGAACGAAUGAAAAAGAAAAAAGAGAAAGAAAGAAAGAAAGAGGGAAGGAAAGAAAGAAAGAAAAGGAAGAAAGAAAAAGAAAGAAAGAAAGAAGAAGGAAAGAAGGAAGGAAAGAAAGAAAGAAAGAAAAUGAAGUGGUUCUUAACCUGUGUUUUGUGGUGUUUGCUCAUCAUGACCCUGUCACCUGUGUGCUUCCAAAGUUGCAAAGCGUGACAUUAUAUUUUCUUCUUCCAUCAGUAAUGGGUUUGCUUAACAUCUGCCAGAGUAAAGGUUUAACUGAGCACACCCUAUGUGUUGGCUGAGAGUCAGUUUCCAGUCAAAAAGCACAGUGACCAGCUUAUCGGGAAGCUCAAACAGAAGCAAGGAGAAGAUCCACAAGUUGGAUGCUGCAAAAUAUUCUACUGAGAAAUGAAUUGUCCAUGUUUACCAGCAUCUCUAAACUCUCUGAAUGAUUCUCCUGGUCUCUUCCACCGUGAUUCUCUGUAGACCCUCCUUCUGAAUACAGUCAAUGUCUCAGCAAUCCUAUGGCACCCUCCAUCUCACAUCUCUCUCCUUACUUUCUACUUAAUUUUCAUUGCAUUUAGUCUAGGGUUUGGGAGCUCUGAUAUAACAGUUGAAAGUAGCAGAGCUAGUUUGGUUGUCUUCUAAUAAAUUCUAAAGUGGCUUUUCCCUCCUCCUUAAUUUUGCUGUCUUCAGAAUAUAUGAGUACUUG
rnacentral:lncRNA from 1 species